UGGGUGACCUGCCCCGAAGUGAGGGAUACCGGCGAGAAAUCGCCGACAAGCCCGCAUAGGCUCUUUUCGGUGGAGCGGAGAGAGCAAAGGUUUACGCGAGUAAGCCGCUUUGGGAUGGGCCUGUGGCCGAUUAGCUGGUUGGUGGGGUAAGAGCCUACCAAGGCGACGAUCGGUAGCUGGUCUGAGAGGACGAUCAGCCACACUGGGAUUGAGAACGGCCCAG
rnacentral:rRNA from 1 species